GUGUUCACUUGAGGAGCACAUAUACUAAAAUGGAAAUGAUACAGGGAAGGUUAGUGUGGCCCCUGUCCAAGAAAUUGGGGAUAGAGUAUGAGAUUCUGUAUUUUUAA
ensembl:snRNA U6 U6 spliceosomal RNA